AUUGAACGCUGGCGGCAGGCCCAACACAUGCAAGUCGAACGGUAACAGAAAGCAGCUUGCUGCUUUGCUGACGAGUGGCGGACGGGUGAGUAAUGUCUGGGAAACUGCCUGAUGGAGGGGGAUAACUACUGGAAACGGUAGCUAAUACCGCAUAACGUCGCAAGACCAAAGAGGGGGACCUUCGGGCCUCUUGCCAUCGGAUGUGCCCAGAUGGGAUUAGCUUGUUGGUGGGGUAACGGCUCACCAAGGCGACGAUCCCUAGCUGGUCUGAGAGGAUGACCAGCCACACUGGAACUGAGACACGGUCCAGACUCCUACGGGAGGCAGCAGUGGGGAAUAUUGCACAAUGGGCGCAAGCCUGAUGCAGCCAUGCCGCGUGUAUGAAGAAGGCCUUCGGGUUGUAAAGUACUUUCAGCGGGGAGGAAGGGAGUAAAGUUAAUACCUUUGCUCAUUGACGUUACCCGCAGAAGAAGCACCGGCUAACUCCGUG
rnacentral:rRNA from 1 species